GACUCUUAUUAGCCGGUGCGUCUCGCGGUGUUCUUCAUUGAGUGCCACGAGAGCCUGGCAUGUUUACUUGAAAAAAUUAGAGUGCUCAAAGCAGGCGCUUGCGCCUGAAUAGUGUUGCAUGGAAUAAUGGAAUAGGACCCUCGGUUCUAUUUUGUUGGUUUUCGGAACUUGAGGUAAUGAUUAAGAGGGACGGUCGGGGGCAUUCGUAUUUCGGUGUUAGAGGUGAAAUUCUUGGAUCGCUGAAAGACGGACAAAUGCGAAAGCAUCUGCCAAGAACGUCUCCAUUAAUCAAGAACGAAAGUCAGAGGUUCGAAGACGAUCAGACACCGUCCUAGUUCUGACCAUAAACGAUGCCAACUAGCGAUCCGCAGUGGUUGCUAUAAACGGACUCUGCGAGCAGCUUCCGGGAAACCAAAGUGUUUGGGUUCCGGGGGAAGUAUGGUUGCAAAGCUGAAACUUAAAGGAAUUGACCGGAAGGCNCCACCAGGA
rnacentral:rRNA from 1 species